UACGUAGGGGGCAAGCGUUGUCCGGAUUUAUUGGGCGUAAAGAGCGUGUAGGCGGCCAUACAGGUCCGUUGUGAAAACUGGAGGCUUAACCUCCAGACGUCGAUGGAAACCGUAUGGCUAGAGUCCGGAAGAGGAGAGUGGAAUUCCUGGUGUAGCGGUGGAAUGCGCAGAUAUCAGGAGGAACAUCCGUGGCGAAGGCGGCUCUCUGGGACGGUACUGACGCUGAGACGCGAAAGCGUGGGGAGCGAACAGG
rnacentral:rRNA from 1 species